CGUAGGGUGGCAAGCGUUGUCCGGAUUUAUUGGGUUUAAAGGGUGCGUAGGUGGCCCUGUAAGUCAGUGGUGAAAUAUCUCAGCUUAACUGAGAGGGUGCCAUUGAUACUGCGGGGCUUGAGUACAGAUGAGGUAGGCGGAAUUGGCGGUGUAGCGGUGAAAUGCAUAGAUAUCGUCAAGAACACCGAUAGCGAAGGCAGCUUACCAAGCUGUAACUGACACUGAGGCACGAAAGUGUGGGGAUCAAACAGGAUUAGAUACCCUGGUAGUCCACACUGUAAACGUUGAUGACUCGAUGUUGGCGAUACACAGCCAGCGUCCAAGAGCAAUCGUUAAGUCAUCCACCUGGGGAGUACGCCGGCAACGGUG
rnacentral:rRNA from 1 species